rnacentral:ncRNA from 2 species
GGUGCUGUACACGGGAGUCCGGUAAGCCGGGCUGAGAGGAAGCUUCCUAAGCUUCGACCGUUGAACCUGAUCUGGAUCAUGCCAGCGCAGGGAGAACGCACUCAACACCA